GUAAGAUUGGGUAGUUGAAAUGUCUUCGACACGGAUGUCAUAGUGGGUCAGUCAAGAACUGAGACCUGUAGUGAUAUUUUCAACUUUACAUAUACGCUUUUAGCUAUAUUGAGUGGACAAAACUUACCGGAGCGGUAGGUCAGUCUGUGCGUUCACUCCGUUGCAUUUUGCGCAUCCAUGUCGUGUUCCUGCGUUGUGCUAGGACACAGGCACUUUGUUUUCGUUGUGGUAUAUACAUUUCACAAUUGAAAUACCUUUUAAAACAUAGAAAUACCACGUAUGUAUGAUUUCGAUAAAACCGAGCAGUUGUUUAUUUCAGCGGUAGACACUGACGGCUGUCAAUGUCAUUUGGUUUUUUUUUGUCCAUGGUUCCGUAACAGACGGUCGGUCACACUUGUUGUACGGCAAUAAACAUAUACUUGUGGUUCUUUUAUCUUUUUAUAAUUUCCAAUUAUUAAUAAAGUCCGUAUUAUUAGCUUCCAAAAUGUGUAACUCUUUUUAUUGUUGAUGUUUCGAAUUAUACCGAGAGUCAAACCGGUCAGUCGCGGUAUCCAUUGAAUGGGAAGUUUUUCAUUCAUCAGCUUGUCUGUGGUUUCUCGGAUUGGAAUUUUGAUAAAUCAUUGUUCGAUCGAUCUUCAGGAUGUGAAGGAUCUUAGAAAAUCUUUGGGCAAUCAAUCUUAGGGGUAUGUAACCUACUUGAAGGUUUUAUUUCCUAAAACUGUGGUAAAUUCAAGUUAGUAAUCGUUAAUGUAAUUUUGUUACAGCUCGUCCCAAAAAGUGCAUAAUUUAGCGUCUUAGAGCCUACCUAAAAUGGCGGCUGCUAAUCUUUUCCCUUCAAUUUAACAUAACUUGCAAAACCUAAUGUAACGUCAACCACCUCUUCGUCUUGCCACGCGGUCUGCAGGCGCCGUCGUUGGUAUAGGAAAUAAUGGACCCGGCAUAAACCCCGGUAAGUCAUUUAAUCGCUUCAUUGCCGUAAUUUAAAUCGCGCUGUGCCUCAGUUUAAAAUAUAAUUUUUCUAUAAAACUAAACGUGUUAAAACAUAAUUUUUUUAACCUAGAACAUUUUCUUUGUUCUUAGGGUUUUUUCUGGACCCUGGUUCUCUAAGGCUGUGCCAUCCGGUGGCAGCGUUCUUCUUGGCAGUGUCCGUGAAGUUAAGACUUUUAUGAUAUACCUUUAGUUAAAUAUGGACCCUUUAUGCUGAACAGGUAACCUGUAAUCCCUGUGAGCAAUUGCUUACUGUUAAACAUCCCCGGAGGUUGGGGCAUAACUUUUACUUUAGACAGUGUUAUGUUAGGAAGACAAAUGUUGAUAUUGUUGUCCGUAGAUACAGAGAUGUCUAUGAUGUAUUUAGUGUAAAUUUCAAGAAAUAGUGGUGUCACUAAGAAGUAUUUAGUAUUACUUAUUUACUAAUAAAUAACUCGUGUUGACCGUAGCGGGUCAUAUAUAUUUAAGGAAUAAAGGUGUGUAUUAAAUAAA